AAUCUGUGAUGUGGGCACUUUCUGAUUGCCUCCUUAAAUCUCUCCCACGCCUCAUAAAAUGAUUCACCACUGAACUUGGUGAAGUUAGUGAUUUCGUUCCUCAAUCU
rnacentral:snoRNA from 1 species